CCAAGGCUAAAUAUUCCUGACUGACCGAUAGUGAACCAGUACCGUGAGGGAAAGGCGAAAAGAACCCCGGCGAGGGGAGUGAAAAAGAACCUGAAACCGUGUACGUACAAGCAGUGGGAGCACCUUUAUGGUGUGACUGCGUACCUUUUGUAUAAUGGGUCAGCGACUUAUAUUCUGUAGCAAGGUUAACCGUAUAGGGGAGCCGCAGGGAAACCGAGUCUUAACUGGGCGUUAAGUUGCAGGGUAUAGACCCGAAACCCGGUGAUCUAGCCAUGGGCAGGUUGAAGGUU
rnacentral:rRNA from 1 species